GCCUCGGUAGCGCAGUAGGCAGCGCGUCAGUCUCAUAAUCUGAUGGUUGUGAGUUCGAACCUCACCCGGGGCA
rnacentral:tRNA from 1 species